UGUACAUACCACUACACUUGCAGGUUACAACACGUAAAAGAUUUUACUUAGUACUAUUCUACUAGAGAAGAAGACGAAGUCGUACAUGGUCGUUACUCACGCAUACGGACUCCAAAGAGUUUUUGAAUAUUGAGUGCAACCGAUGAAAGACGGUAACACGAGUUAUCUACAACCGAUUUGGAUGGCAAUUAAAUAAUAGGAUAGGUAUUUAGUCAUCUUGGCCUAUUUUUCACUGGUUGUGGCAGUUCUCUUUUUACUGAUUUGUUUCAUGCUCCUUUUGUGAGCGUUCUGAAACUUGAGACUUUGUUUUGGAACUUCAGAUCAAUAAAAUGGCUUCAUGUAUCAUUUUGAUGCAGAGGCCGGGGCAAAUCCUCCUUUCCAAAAAAAGAGGUACAUACCACUACAUUUCCAGGUUACAACACGUAAAAGAUUUUACUUAGUACUACUAGAGAAGAAGACGAAGUCGCGUGUCCUGUUCUGCAUGAGUGCUUCAGCCACAUGUGAUUAAAAUUGACUCCAUCCUGACCUCUUACAAUGCUAGGCAGUUUGUCUGAAGUUGAUACACCCGUUUAACCAAAUUUUAGGGGAA
rnacentral:lncRNA from 1 species